AGUGAACGCUGGCGGUAGGCCUAACACAUGCAAGUCGAACGGCAGCACAGUAAGAGCUUGCUCUUACGGGUGGCGAGUGGCGGACGGGUGAGGAAUACAUCGGAAUCUACUUUUUCGUGGGGGAUAACGUAGGGAAACUUACGCUAAUACCGCAUACGACCUACGGGUGAAAGCAGGGGAUCUUCGGACCUUGCGCGAUUGAAUGAGCCGAUGUCGGAUUAGCUAGUUGGCGGGGUAAAGGCCCACCAAGGCGACGAUCCGUAGCUGGUCUGAGAGGAUGAUCAGGCAAACUGGAACUGAGGCACGGUCCAGGCUCCUACGGGAGGCCGCAGUGGGGAAUAUUGGAGAAUGGGCGCAAGGCUGAUCCAGCCAUACCGCGUGGGUGGAGAAGGCCUUCGGGUUGUAAAGCCCUUUUGUUGGGAAAGAAAAGCAGCAGGUUAAUACCCCGCUGUUCUGACGGUACCCAAAGAAUAAGCACCGGCUAACUUCGUG
rnacentral:rRNA from 1 species